rnacentral:RNase_P_RNA from 1 species
CGAGGCGGCCGGAUGGUCGCGCGUCAUCGGCCCGGGGCGACCCGGGUCCCUGGCGUGAGGAAAGUCCGAGCUCCUCAGCGCAGGGUGGCGGGUAACGCCCGUCCGUCGCGAGACGAGGACCAGUGCCACAGUGACGAUGCCGCCGUACGGCCUCCGGGUCGGACAGCGGAGUGAAACGCGGCAAACUCCACCCGGAGCAAGGCCAAAUAGGAGGGCGCAACCCGGACCGGGAAACCGGCACGGGGGAGAGGUGCGCUGCCCAGCCCUCGGGUCGGCCGCAUGAGCCGUCGGGUGACCGGCGGCCCCAGAUGGAUGGCCAUCCCCGCGCGGCGCGUGAGCGCGGCGUGGGACAGAACUCGGCUUACAGGCCGCCUCGCUGG